rnacentral:lncRNA from 1 species
AACUCAGACCUGUACAGGAGGAACAAAGCAUUGAUUAGUGAAUUAGGCGUCCCUCGCCCUGGUUCAAAGGACUUGCAUUUUGAAACUCAAUACUCACAAUCAUUCUGGACGCAAUGUAUGGCUUGCCUAUGGAAGCAACACUGGUCAUACUGGCGUAAUCCAGCUUAUACCGCGGUCAGAUUCAUCUUCACGACAUUCAUAGCACUAAUCUUCGGGACAAUGUUCUGGGAUCUUGGUACUAAUGUGUAAGUACAGAAGCAUGAAAACUAAACAAGUAUGGAAAGUAGAUUACUACUUAAAAUCCUUAAUACUAAACUGGAAUUUAUUUGCUGUAGGAGCAAGAGCCAAGAUCUUUUAAACGCUAUGGGAUCAAUGUAUGCUGCUGUUCUCUUCCUUGGUGUACAAAAUGCAUCAUCAGUGCAACCAGUUGUAGCCGUUGAGCGUACAGUAUUUUACAGAGAAAGAGCUGCUGGAAUGUACUCUGCCAUCCCCUAUGCCUUUGGACAGGUGAAUAAACAAGUUCUAUUUUCUGAUAAAGAUAGCAACUUCAGAUUUAAAUUCAGUUCCUCGUAUUCAUGAAAACUUCCUAUAUUUGCAGGUUGCCAUUGAAAUCCCUUACAUAUUUGUACAAUCUGUGUUUUAUGGUAUCAUCGUCUAGUAAAUAUACCAACUUCAGAUUUGAAUUCAGCUCCUAGUAUUCAUGAAAGCUUCCUAUAUUGCAGGUUUCCAUUGAAAUCCCUUACAUAUUUGUGCAAUCUGUGUUUUAUGGUAUCAUCGUCUAUGCUAUGAUUGGAUUCGAAUGGGAUGUUGGCAAGUUCUUUUGGUACUUGUUCAUCAUGUUUUUCACCCUUUUGUACUUUACAUUCUACGGUAUGAUGAGUGUGGCUGUCACACCAAACCAAAAUGUGGCUUCGAUUGUUGCUGCCUUCUUCUAUGGUGUAUGGAAUCUCUUCU